rnacentral:lncRNA from 1 species
UAUAAUCUAUUGGCUUUGACAAUAAAGUUUAUGGGGCAGAGAAAAUAUUUAACUUUGAAAUCCCUGUACAUCGAAAGGAAUAUUUUACAAAUAACUUGACAAAGAUGUUUCAAUGGUCUUGGAAUGCAGAAUGGAAUUUUGAGAAAUAGAAAUUUGUAGGCAAGGGUCUAAACUAGGCAAGGUGGUAAGAAUGUGGAUGUGCCAGCCUUCUUUUUUUUUUUUUUGAGACAGAUUCUUACUUUGACCCCCAGGCUGGAGUGCAGUGGCACGAUCUUGGUUCACCACAAUCUCGUCUCGAAGGCUCAGGUGAUUCUCUCACCUCAGCCGCCUGAGUAGCUGGGACCACAGUUUCAGCUGUGAGUUCAACAUGGAGGCAAAUCAGUGCCCCCUGGUUGUGGAACCAUCUUACCCAGACCUGGUCAUCAAUGUAGGAGAAGUGACUCUUGGAGAAGAAAACAGAAAAAAGCUGCAGAAAAUUCAGAGAGACCAAGAGAAGGAGAGAGUUAUGCGGGCUGCAUGUGCUUUAUUAAACUCAGGAGGAGGAGUGAUUCGA